UUAAAAUAAUUUAAAAAAACUCCAUUAGUCUAGAAUUGGCUGGUUGAAUUACAUGAACUAAUUAGAAAUGCUAGCAAUAUACAGCAGUAUUUCUAUACCGGCCCUACAUUCUAGGGUAUGCAGAAAAAUCCUGGACAUCCAAGGUGGGACAAAAAAAAAAAAGAGAGACCCCAAAAUACAUAAACUAUGAUCAUUUUGGAUCCAGCCAGGAAGAACAGUCCCAAUAGAAAGGCUCUUGAACGUGUCCUGAACCUGGGUCAUUUCAGCUUAUUUGAAUAAAAACAGCAAUGUUAUCCAUUUACAAGGUCUGUUCUUGCCUCAUGUCGAAGGAACCGAAAGGCCAAGACUUGCAGGAAAGAGCCCAACAUGGAUGUAAACUUUUUUGCAGCGUAGAAUUAGAAAGGUUGUGGAAGAAGUAGAGAUAUCGUUGCUCAGAAGGGGUUACACCCAUAUUAACAUAUAAAAGGAUUUAUUUGGCGCUAUGUGUCUUGAAACAUUGAAUAAUUGUCUGUGGAAAAGAGAUUUGGCUGUUAGGAGGCCUGGAAAGCAAUAAGGUUCAUCCAGUGAUAGGCCUUCAGCUUGCUUCAAUGGCAAAGAACAAGCAUCAGAUAAACUGGGGACCUUCACCCAAGUCAAUGGAGUCAGGUAAGCCUCGUGCCUUCAGAAGAUUGCAUUGCCUUACGCUAUAUUGUAGUUGCUCCAUGUUUGUAGUCUGCAAGGUAAAAGUGAGACUUAAUUUUGCAAUUGAGCUUACACGCAGUCUUAUUUAUUGCAAACCUUUUGAAUGUCUUCUUCUGUGGUCUUAAUCCAUCUAGAAAGUGUACUCAGGUCUUCCUUUAGAAUGUCCAUGUCUACAGUAAAAAAGUCCUAAGGAUAAAAGUAGAGAUAUCGCUAAAUACUAGAUACAUUAGUUUUGCUUUCCUUUCUUGCUAAGACCUUGCUAUCCAGGUUUGGGAUUGGACCUCUGAUAUAGCCAACUCCUCUUCUUAGGAGGCCGACAUUCUAGGCUUAUGUUGCAGAUCAGGAGGAUGAUAUCUUGGGUAUUCCUACUAGCAGUUACCUGAGAUUUAUGGAAUCGCUUCCCAAUAAUUUGUCACAACACAAAAAAAUAUUUCUGGGAGUGAGAGUAGCUGAGAAAUUUCACCAAAUGUCAGAGAAC